rnacentral:rRNA from 1 species
AUUGAACGCUGGCGGCAUGCUUUACACAUGCAAGUCGAACGGCAGCACGGACUUCGGUCUGGUGGCGAGUGGCGAACGGGUGAGUAAUACAUCGGAACGUACCCAGUAAUGGGGGAUAACUAGUCGAAAGAUUAGCUAAUACCGCAUACGCCCUACGGGGGAAAGAGGGGGAUCGCAAGACCUCUUGUUAUUGGAGCGGCCGAUGGCUGAUUAGCUAGUUGGUGGGGUAAAGGCCUACCAAGGCGACGAUCAGUAGCGGGUCUUAGAGGACGAUCCGCCACACUGGAACUGAGACACGGUCCAGACUCCUACGGGAGGCAGCAGUGGGGAAUCUUGGACAAUGGGCGAAAGCCUGAUCCAGCAAUGCCGCGUGCGUGAAGAAGGCCUUCGGGUUGUAAAGCGCUUUUGUCUGGGAGCAAAUCCUUGUGGCUAAUACCCACCGGGGAUGAGAGUACCAGAAGAAUAAGGACCGGCUAACUACGUGCCAGCAGCCGCGGUAAUACGUAGGGUCCAAGCGUUAAUCGGAAUUACUGGGCGUAAAGCGUGCGCAGGUGGUUUGUUAAGCGCGAUGUGAAAUCCCCGAGCUCAACUUGGGAAUUGCAUUGCGAACUGACUGACUAGAGUACGGCAGAGGGGGGUGGAAUUCCACGUGUAGCAGUGAAAUGCGUAGAGAUGUGGAGGAACACCGAUGGCGAAGGCAACCCCCUGGGCUGAUACUGACACUCAUGCACGAAAGCGUGGGGAGCAAACAGGAUUAGAUACCCUGGUAGUCCACGCCCUAAACGAUGUCUACUAAUUGUUUGGGCUUUUCGGAGCUUAGUAACGCAGCUAACGCGUGAAGUAGACCGCCUGGGGAGUACGGUCGCAAGACUAAAACUCAAAGGAAUUGACGGGGGCCCGCACAAGCGGUGGAUGAUGUGGAUUAAUUCGAUGCAACGCGAAAAACCUUACCUGGUCUUGACAUGUACGGAAUCCUCCAGAGACGGAGGAGUGCCUUCGGGAGCCGUAACACAGGUGCUGCAUGGCUGUCGUCAGCUCGUGUCGUGAGAUGUUGGGUUAAGUCCUGCAACGAGCGCAACCCUUGCCAUUAGUUGCUACCAUUUAGUUGAGCAGUUUAAUGGGACUGCCGGUGACAAACCGGAGGAAGGUGGGGAUGACGUCAAGUCCUCAUGGCCCUUAUGACCAGGGCUUCACACGUCAUACAAUGGUCGGUACAGAGGGUCGCUAACCCGCGAGGGGGUGCCAAUAUCACAAAACCGAUCGCAGUCCGGAUUGCACUCUGCAACUCGAGUGCAUGAAGUCGGAAUCGCUAGUAAUAUCGGGUCAGCAUGCCGCGGUGAGUACGUUCCCGGGCCUUGUACACACCGCCCGUCACACCAUGGGAGUGGGUUUCACCAGAAGUAGGUAGGCUAACCGUAAGGAGACCGCUUUCCACGGUGGGAUUCAUGACUGGG